CUUUUCUCUUUCUAAAUCCUUCUCUUAUGAUAACAAAAAUUCAAAAAUCUUGUGCUCAUAGGUAUCCAUUCGACCAGUACGUCAUGCACCACUGAUGCGGCAAUGCUACUCUAUCACUUCCCAUCCACCGGUGUAAAUGGUGGAGUGAGGCAUCAUAUCUCUCAGUCAAUCAACGAUACCCACCUUUUGCUUCUAUGAGGAUUACCAUCGAUUUUCUAACUAAGGAAAGCCUAUGAAGAAUCUACCAAAUAUUUUGGAGGGUACGCUCUUCAACCAGUCUUUUCAUCCGGACGUAACAAGUAAUGAAUUACAUCAGUCUAAGUCGAUCUUAUUGUUCACUUUCUUCCACAUUAGAGAAAAUAUUUGAGCCUUCUACUUGAAUAUGUAUAUGCUCAGGGGGUUGAAUAUAACCCGACUAGACAAAAUUCAUGUGCAAAGAAGUGAUGUAGACCAAAAGUCAUCUUUUACUAUUGGAAUUAGAUCAUCAUGUCAAAUAUUAUGUAUGCAGAAAAUGGUGUAGAAUGUCUGUAGAGGUAGUUGUGCUUUUUCCUGAACAUUAUUGUUAAUGUCAUUUGAAGGUCUGAGAAUUCAGUGUGUUUGUAGAAUGUGUUGAAUCCAUACCAUUUUUUAGUCAACUUUAGC